GCCAAGGUGUCUAGUCGCUGACAGUCUUGCUCUGAACGUAAUUCGUGUCUCCAAAAGUUUUUAAGUGCUUUUUUUCUCAUCUUUUUGAGGAUGUCAAACAAAUUUUCCACAUUUCCCUACAAACUUUGGCAACUGAUGAAUGAGUGCACUGAUGGUGCAAUCAGAUGGAAUGAUACUGGAGAAAGCAUCGUUAUUGACAAGACAAAAUUUUGCGACAGCACCUGUGUAGGGAGAAUUUUCAAACCUAUCCAGUGGAGCAGUUUCGUUCGCCAGCUCAAUAUGUACGGAUUUCGCAAAACUGCCAGCAUUCAUCAACACAGCCAAGAACCGUGUGUAUGCGAAUGUCACCUUACUACUUCUAUUUCCUACACCCACGAGCAUUUUCGUCCGUGGAACUAUGGAUCCUUAACUUUAGUCACACGUUCUCGCCAAAAAAGCAGAUCUGGCCUUUUAAAUACCGUCGCAGA